rnacentral:rRNA from 1 species
UACGUAGGGCGCAAGCGUUGUCCGGAAUUAUUGGGCGUAAAGAGCUCGUAGGCGGUUUGUCGCGUCUGCUGUGAAAGUUCGGGGCUCAACCCCGGAACUGCAGUGGGUACGGGCAGACUAGAGUGCGGGAGAGGAUACUGGAAUUCCUGGUGUAGCGGUGGAAUGCGCAGAUAUCAGGAGGAACACCAGUGGCGAAGGCGGGUCUCUGGGCCGUAACUGACGCUGAGGAGCGAAAGCGUGGGGAGCGAACAGG